AUUGAACGCUGGCGGCAGGCCUAACACAUGCAAGUCGAACGGUAACAGGAAGCAGCUUGCUGCUUCGCUGACGAGUGGCGGACGGGUGAGUAAUGUCUGGGAAGCUACCUGAUGGAGGGGGAUAACUACUGGAAACGGUAGCUAAUACCGCAUAAUGUCGCAAGACCAAAGAGGGGGACCUUCGGGCCUCUUGCCAUCGGAUGUGCCCAGAUGGGAUUAGCUUGUUGGUGGGGUAACGGCUCACCAAGGCGACGAUCCCUAGCUGGUCUGAGAGGAUGACCAGCCACACUGGAACUGAGACACGGUCCAGACUCCUACGGGAGGCAGCAGUGGGGAAUAUUGCACAAUGGGCGCAAGCCUGAUGCAGCCAUGCCGCGUGUAUGAAGAAGGCCUUCGGGUUGUAAAGCACUUUCAGCGGGGAGGAAGGGAGUAAAGUUAAUACCUUUGCUCAUUGACGUUACCCGCAGAAGAAGCACCGGCUAACUCCGUG
rnacentral:rRNA from 1 species